rnacentral:rRNA from 1 species
AGAGUUUGAUCAUGGCUCAGAACGUACGCUGGCGGCACGCCUAACACAUGCAAGUCGAACGAAGUAGCAAUACUUAGUGGCAGACGGGUGAGUAACAUGUAGGUAUCUGCCCUUUGGCCUGGAAUAACACGAGGAAACUUGUGCUAAUACCGGAUAAGUCUUUACGGAGAAAGCUUUAUGCACCAUUGGAUGAGCCUGCACUUGAUUAGUUUGUUGGUGGGGUAAUGGCCUACCAAGACUGUGAUCAAUAGCUGAUUUGAGAGGAUGAUCAGCCACAUUGGGACUGAGACACGGCCCAAACUCCUACGGGAGGCAGCAGUGGGGAAUCUUGCACAAUGGAGGAAACUCUGAUGCAGCGAUGCCGCGUGAGUGAAGAAGGCCCUUGGGUUGUAAAGCUCUUUCGUCGGGGAAGAAAAUGACUGUACCCGAAUAAGAAGGUCCGGCUAACUUCGUGCCAGCAGCCGCGGUAAUACGAAGGGACCUAGCGUAGUUCGGAAUUACUGGGCUUAAAGAGUUCGUAGGUGGUUGAAAAAGUUAGUGGUGAAAUCCCAGAGCUUAACUCUGGAACUGCCAUUAAAACUUUUCAGCUAGAGUAUGAUAGAGGAAAGCAGAAUUUCUAGUGUAGAGGUGAAAUUCGUAGAUAUUAGAAAGAAUACCAAUUGCGAAGGCAGCUUUCUGGAUCAUUACUGACACUGAGGAACGAAAGCAUGGGUAGCGAAGAGGAUUAGAUACCCUCGUAGUCCAUGCCGUAAACGAUGUGUGUUAGACGUUGGAAAUUUAUUUUCAGUGUCGCAGCGAAAGCGAUAAACACACCGCCUGGGGAGUACGACCGCAAGGUUAAAACUCAAAUGAAUUGACGGGGACCCGCACAAGUAGUGGAGCAUGUGGUUUAAUUCGAAGAUACGCGCAGAACCUUACCAACACUUGACAUGUUCGUCGCGACUCUAAGAGAUUAGAGUUUUCGGUUCGGCCGGACGAAACACAGGUGCUGCAUGGCUGUCGUCAGCUCGUGUCGUGAGAUGUUGGGUUAAGUCCCGCAACGAGCGCAACCCUCACUUUUAGUUGCCAUCAUUAAGUUGGGCACUCUGAAAGAACUGCCAGUGAUAAGCUGGAGGAAGGUGGGGAUGACGUCAAGUCCUCAUGGCCCUUACGUGUUGGGCUACACACGUGCUACAAUGGCAUCUACAACAGGAAGCAAAACGGCAACGUUAAGCAAAUCCCGAAAAGAUGCCUCAGUUCGGAUUGCACUCUGCAACUCGAGUGCAUGAAGCUGGAAUUACUAGUAAUCGUGGAUCAGCGUGCCACGGUGAAUGCGUUCCCGGGUCUUGUACACACCGCCCGUCACACCAUGGGAGUUGGUUCUACCUUAAGGCAAGGUUUUAAACCCUUGACCACGGUAUAGUCAGCGACUGGGGUGAAGUCGUAACAAGGUA